CGAGGCUCAGAAAAUGGCCGCCCUCGCUCGCGCGCCUGGGCCCUUCUGCAUCGCAGCUGGCGCGGGUCGUGCGUGAGGACGGCGCUGCCGGGGCGACUGAAGGUUCCCAGGCCAGGCCCCACGAACUUUCCACCGCCGCCCUGGCCAGCGCGUCGCCUGCCCUCACUUGCCCUCGGCCCGCGUCCGCUGUGUCCUUCAGGGGCGACCUGUGCCGCGUUCUAGGCUUUGGCUUGAUUUUGUUCGAGGGGGCAGGGUCUCGCCGUGCAGCUCGAGCUGGCCUGGGCCUCCCAGGGCGGGCUCCGGGCUGCGGUGCCGGGAUGCCUCGUGAGUGAAGUGCAGUCACCGCUCAGGGCCAGGAUUCGACGGAAGGGCCGGCAGGGAUCCGCAGGAGAGGCCCACGAGGCGGAUGCUCGGCGCCUGAGCUGCAGAGACCCGAGCCGACUUUGAGCGGACCGAAGGAGACGGUACUAACAGGUCGGGGAUUUAGCUCAGUGGUUCCAGUGCCUGCCUCCUCGAAAGUGCAAGUUCCUGAGUUCGAUCCUCGGUACCAAGAAAAGAUCCUAGUACAAACAGAAUGGAAUAUCAGGAUGGAAUAGUUUUCCAUUUCCUUGAGAUCUCAUUGUACUCAUCGUUCUUCCUGUAUAAAACAGUAUCAGUCAAGGUUAGUUAACUUUAUUCUGGCUGGCCGUUUGUCAACUGUUACAGCUUAUAUCUUACAUCUGUCCCCUCAGAGGUUCAUGUGCUGAGAUCAGAGGCAAGCUUUUGAAAAGUGAUUAGAGGGCUUUUAUCUUGCUAAUAGGAGGCAGGGUCGGGUUGGAAGACGUGGGUCUCUGGGGGUUGGGGGGGAAUCUUCCACCGGUAUGCUCCCUUCCCUUUCUGCUUCCUGGCUGCCAUCCCUAUGCCGUGCUGUACUGCCUUGGACCCAGCUGACUAUGGACUGAAAUGUCACCGUGACGACGCGGCCCUCCCUCUGGACAGUCUGGGGUUGCCAAUCAGCUGAUGGUUGUUUCGCUUCUUUCAAGAAGAAAUCGCGCAUAGGCAAAAUGUAGUCCUGCUAGUGGCUCUGGGCUGACACCAAAGGCCUCAGCCCUUGGCGUUACAGCCCUGGACCCAGACGCCUCCAUGGAGGCCAGCCAGUUAAUGCCGCCUGUGAGCACCGCCGGCUGACUGCUGGCAGACUCAAAGGACCUUCGAGUACACACCACCUGAGAAGUACUCCUGAGAACAUUCCCAGGGCACCAGAAGGAACCUUUAUUUACACACGGCUCAGGCUGCAGCGCAGAACUCCCCGCACCAGAGCCAGCCUCCUGAACGCCGGGAGAUUCAACAGAGCGCUGCUUAUGUAGUAGUGCAGGCAUGUGAUUGGUCCGAAUUUCAGCCUGCUGAUUGGUCCAAACUGGUCUAAACGCAAGCCUUCUGGUCCAAGCCUACUGAUUGGUCCAAAUUCAAUCCUACUGCUUAGUUCAAGGCUGUGGUUAGGGCUGACACCCCUGGGGCGGGUGUGGGCAUCCCUGACAUCGCAGCAGUGGUUUGGUUUACACAGGCUGUUUGAUGGCAGGGGUGAACCUGGGGAACCUUCAGAGGAUUGGUUGUGUUAACCCCGGCUUCCUGGGGCUGGGGGAGCCCUCCCUCAUCUCUGCAGCGUUGGGGCGCAGAGGCUGCAGGAUCAGGAUUGGUGUGGGCGAGGAGGGAGGGGAAGGGGCCAUGCUGACAGCAGAGCUGCGCCUCCUGUCAGAGCGGCCUCAAGACCAGCCAUGAAGUAACCUGGGGACACUGAGCCAAGUUGUCCUUGUCCAUCCUGGGGUCAAGCUGAACUCCACUGCACUGACACGGAAAAGGGAAGGCAGGGCUGCUUCCCCUCAAGAGCCUUCACCUCAUGCCACCUGGAGGCCCUCUCCCGUGGGUCACCCACUCCCAAGGUGUUUCUGCUCUACUCCGUUCUGCAAAGAAACAGGAAGUGGCCGGUGCUGCACAGAGAGAGGUGCUGGCCAGGAGCCUAGAAUCUUCCCUCUGCUUUGGGAAGAAAUGUGAAGAUGGUCUGCGUUUGGAGCGAGCCCAGGGCGGAGGACGUUUGUCUGACAGCGUGGGCAGUUCAGCUCCUGCCCCAUCCUGCCAAGCAAUGGCCCAGGAACUGGCUGUCGGCAAAGUUUUGCUGCUGGAGGAACUGGCUCAGCAUGUUAAAGAGUUUUCCACACUGUCUGCAUUUGGCUGAAUUCGUUUUCUCUGACCUUGCGUGUUCUGUGAACUUGUGGUGAGAUGGAGACACAGUCCGAUUUCAGUUCGAGCCUUGGGGGAGGUCCUCACGGGCCAUGUGCUCCACCACCCGCGCCUGACGUCUGCUCACUCCCUUGUGUGCGCUGUGCAGCUGCUGGUGACACCUGUGCCCCACUGGGACUUGCAAGUGGCAACAGCAGAUCACACCACUCCUUUAUGUUUGUUUAGCCAACGUGCUCUACACAGAGAAACUCCUCCUUGUCCGCUAUUUGACUGACAUUCAGAUGUACAGGAAAGUGCCUCACUGCUUGCUCCUCUUCCUCUAUUUGCUGGUACUGUGUGGUGGCACAUGUCUGCAAUCCCAGUGCCGCAGGAGGCUGAAGCAGGCAGGAAGACCACAGGCGCAAGCCCACCCUGGGCUCCUAAUGGCUUAGUGAGGCCCUGGCUUAGAAUAACAAAAAGUAAAAGAGGCCUUGGCAUGCAGCUUGGCGCAAAGGCCUUGGGCUCAGCCCCCAGCACUGCACUACAGCAGCGACAACAACACAGCAACAAUGUGUCCUCUAGGCCCAACAAAUGUGAUCAAUGAAGUUUCCACCGAUACGAUUUUAAAUGCAGCAAACUAAAUUCAGG
ensembl:lncRNA